UGGGUCGUCGCCAAGCGGUAAGGCACCAGGUUUUGGUCCUGGCAUCCGGGGGUUCGAAUCCUCCCGGCCCAACCA
rnacentral:tRNA from 1 species